rnacentral:rRNA from 1 species
AAGGCGGCCCCUGGACAAAGACUGACGCUCAGGUGCGAAAGCGUGGGGAGCAAACAGGAUUAGAUACCUGGUAGUCCACGCCGUAAACGAUGUCGAUUGGAGGUUGUGGCUUCCGGAGCUAACGCGUUAAAUCGACCGCCUGGGGAGUACGGCCGCAAGGUUAAAACUCAAAUGAAUUGACGGGGGCCCGCACAAGCGGUGGAGCAUGUGGUUUAUUUCGAUGCAACGCGAAGAACCUUACCUGGUCUUGACAUCCAGGUGCUGCAUGGCUGUCGUCAGCUCGUGUUGUGAAAUGUUGGGUUAAGUCCCGCAACGAGCGCAACCCUUAUCCUUUGUUGCAACUCAAAGGAGACUGCCAGUGAUAAACUGGAGGAAGGUGGGGAUGACGUCAAGUCAUCAUGGCCCUUACGACCAGGGCUACACACGUGCUACAAUGGCGCAUACAAAGAGAAGCGACCUCGCGAGAGCAAGCGGACCUCAUAAAGUGCGUCGUAGUCCGGAUUGGAGUCUGCAACUCGACUCCAUGAAGUCGGAAUCGCUAGUAAUCGUGGAUCAGAUGCCACGGUGAAUACGUUCCCGGGCCUUGUACACACCGCCCGUCACACCAUGGGAGUGGG